rnacentral:rRNA from 1 species
UACGUAGGGACCAAGCGUUGUUCGGAUUUACUGGGCGUAAAGGGCGCGUAGGCGGCAAUUCAAGUCAUCUGUGAAAUCUCCGGGCUUAACCCGGAACGGUCAGGUGAUACUGUUUUGCUAGAGUGCGGAAGGGGCAAUCGGAAUUCUCGGUGUAGCGGUGAAAUGCGUAGAUAUCGAGAGGAACACCAGAGGUGCAGACGGGUUGCUGGGCCGACACUGACGCUGACAGCGCGAAAGCCAGGGGAGCAAACGGG